rnacentral:rRNA from 1 species
UACGUAGGGGGCGAGCGUUGUCCGGAAUCACUGGGCGUAAAGCGCGUGUAGGCGGCUUGGUAAGUCCGGUGUGAAACCUUGGGGCUCAACCCCAAGCCUGCACUGGAUACUGCCUCGCUUGAGUCCGGGAGGGGAGAGCGGAAUUCCUAGUGUAGCGGUGAAAUGCGCAGAUAUUAGGAAGAACACCGGUGGCGAAGGCGGCUCUCUGGAACGGUACUGACGCUGAGACGCGAAAGCGUGGGGAGCGAACAGG